GACUGUGGACUCUGAGAAAAAAGUGAGGGUUUUGGAGGGGAGGAGAGGGCGUGGGAGGUUAGGUGAACUUGGUGGUGGGUUUUAAGGAGGGCACGUAUUGCAUGGAGCACUGUGUGUGGUGCA